GUGCCCAAGUAUGAAGAUUGGAUCUUUUCUAUUUAUUUUUCUCUAUUUUAUUUAUAUAUCUAAAUCCUAUCUCAUAUAUAAUGAUCCUAUUUAUGAUUUUAAGAUUCAAUCUUAUACAUGCUUAGAUUAAAUUAGAUUUAAUUUAAAAUUUUUAAAUUCCACUGCAUACUCAUUUUAAAAAAUUUUUGCAUGCAUGAAACCAUAAAAAUCCAACAGUGGUAUUAGAGCUACGUCAUAUGCAUGAGAUUAGGAUUUAGAUCUAAAAUCUAUAGAGAAAAAUUUUAAAUCU
rnacentral:lncRNA from 1 species